CGUGAGGAUGGCAUCAUUUCACNUUAAAGUCACAACGGCAAAAGAUGAGCAUGCGUCCCAUUAGCUAGUUGGUAAGGUAACGGCUUACCAAGGCUACGAUGGUAGGGGUCCUGAGAGGGAGAUCCCCCACACUGGUACUGAGACACGGACCAGACUCCUACGGGAGGCAGCAGUGAGGAAUAUUGGACAAUGGGCGCAAGCCUGAUCCAGCCAUGCCGCGUGCAGGAUGACGGUCCUAUGGAUUGUAAACUGCUUUUGUACAGGAAGAAACACUACUUCGUGAAGUAGCUUGACGGUACUGUAAGAAUAAGGAUCGGCUAACUCCGUG
rnacentral:rRNA from 1 species